UACGUAGGGUGCAAGCGUUAAUCGGAAUUACUGGGCGUAAAGCGUGCGCAGGCGGCUUUGCAAGACAGAUGUGAAAUCCCCGGGCUCAACCCUGGGAACUGCAUUUGUGACUGCAAGGCUAGAGUACGGUAGAGGGGAUGGAAUUCCGCGUGUAGCAGUGAAAUGCGUAGAUAUGCGGAGGAACACCGAUGGCGAAGGCAAUCCCCUGGACCUGUACUGACGCUCAUGCACCGAAAGCGUGGGGGAGCAAACAGG
rnacentral:rRNA from 1 species